UUCGGAACAGAAGAUGACAGGUGUGCUUGGUUGUCGCUCAGCUCGGUGUCGUAGAAGAUGUUGGUGUUAAUGCUCCCGCAACAGAGCCGCAACCCUUAUCCGUCAGUAGCCACGCAGUUCGGAUGGGCACUCUGGUGAGACUGCCGGGGAUAACCCGGAGGAAGGUGGGGAUGACGUCAAAUCAUCAUGCCCCUUAUGACUUGGGCUACACACGUGCUACAAUGGCGUAAACAAAGGGAAGCGAACCUGCGAGGGGGAGCAAAUCCCAAAAAUAACGUCCCAGUUCGGAUUGUAGUCUGCAACCCGACUACAUGAAGCUGGAAUCGCUAGUAAUCGCGGAUCAGAAUGCCGCGGUGAAUACGUUCCCGGGCCUUGUACACACCGAG
rnacentral:rRNA from 1 species